GGGCCCACGCGCGGCCCUGGGGUUUCAGGGAGCCCUUGUGCCUCCUGUGUCUCUACGUGACUUGGCACCCGGAUCCCAGGACACCUCUCCAGGCCAGAGCUGUGACUUUCUAGCUUGGGUUUCACGACAGAGCACCCAAGGCCCCUCCUCUACGCCGGCAUUUCGGCGCUGUGCUUUGGAAGGACUCCAGGCCAGCAGUGAAGGGCUCUUUGAUAAUAUCUGACGGGCGGGUAAGAAUUUUGGGCAGCAGCCAAGGUACACAUUGCCUGUAAUCGUUAACUCGGUCUGUAAACAGUUCAAACGGCACUGAAGAGGCCGUCAGUUAUUACAUUGGAGAGAAGCCUUUCAUGUGCCCGCGCAGGAGCCGGAGCCGCGCAGCGCCAGGCCCUGAGGAGCAGCUCUGGCUGCAGCGCGGCCUGGCCCUACAGCGGCCGCUGUGCUGAGCGCCUGACCUUCAAACCCUCGGCGCUGCAGCAACAACUCAAUCCUUACUUUCUUUUGUUCUGCACCUGGCUCAGCGGUGGAGCCCGGCGAGAUGGAGGGGGAAGGGAUCAGGCAGUGCUCCCCGGCACAGCUGGGAAGGUUCAGCAGGGCUGGCUCCUCCACCCCAAACCCAUCUCCUGCCUGCGGCUUUUCCCUGAUCAAGAAUGCUCUUUCUGACAUCAGUUGUCAAGGUUUUGACUUUCAAACCCAUUGUAAAGAGCUGGUGGUUGAGGAGGAGUACCCAGUGGCUGCAGUAAAGCGAUCUGGGCUCAGGAGAGCAAACUUCAGCAGAGCUGUCAGUGAGGGGUGUUUGAGAGUUUCCCCCAGCCCCAUGGGAAUCAUUUCGGUUGGAAAAGCACUCCAGGACCAUCAAGUCUAGCCUGAGCCUGACCCACAGCUGGCUCUGAAGUCCUUUCAGGGAGUUGCGAAGAGCGACAGAAGAGAUCCAGACUUCACCUAAUCCUGCACGUGUGAUAAUCAAAUAAACAUUGCUCUUGGGUUCA